UAUCCAGUGCUGAUGUUCCUCAAAGGGAGAGAGAAAAGAAGGGGAGAUGGCCUUUCCACCGCAGCCCUCAGGCCUGCAGCACGCUGGUGUUGCCUCCAAAGGUCUCUGCAGCUCGGAGCACCACACUGGACAUGGCUGUCAAAAAAAUGAGUCUACUAAAUGCGCCAGCAAGACUACAGCCGGCUAGCACUGGAGAGCAGCAUGCCACUGGGGUCUGCAGCGCUGAGCAGGGUCUUAUGAGUCAUAGUAGUGGUUUAUGGUAUUUUAAAUAACGUUGUUUGUAGACUGGACCCCUACAGUUAACCCCAGUUAUCAAGGAGCUAAACCCAUGUCGGAGGCAGCGACGAGAAGAGAAGGUGAAGUCCAGAGACAUCGUUCAAUCAGUGAACGAUU